UACAGAGGUCUCGAGCGUUAGGCGGAAUCACUGGGCUUAAAGCGUGCGUAGGUGGAUCGUUAAGUACCUUGUGAAAUCCCACGGCUUAACCGUGGAACUGCUUGGUAUACUGGCGGUCUUGAGCCAGCUAGGGGCUACCGGAACAAAUGGUGGAGCGGUGAAAUGCGUAGAUAUCGAGAGGAACACCUGCGGCGAAGGCGGGUAGCUGGGCCGACACUGACGCUGGAGGCGACGAAAGCCAGGGGAGCGAACGGG
rnacentral:rRNA from 1 species